UAGGGAAUCUUCCGCAAUGGACGCAAGUCUGACGGAGCAACGCCGCGUGAGUGAAGAAGGAUUUCGGUUCGUAAAACUCUGUUGUUAGAGAAGAACAGCGCAUAGAGUAACUGUUAUGCGUGUGACGGUAUCUAACCAGAAAGCCACGGCUAACUACGUGCCAGCAGCCGCGGUAAUACGUAGGUGGCAAGCGUUGUCCGGAUUUAUUGGGAGUAAAGCGAGCGCAGGCGGUCAAUUAAGUCUGAUGUGAAAGCCCCCGGCUCAACCGGGGAGUGUCAUUGGAAACUGGUUGACUUGAGUGCAGAAGAGGAGAGUGGAAUUCCAUGUGUAGCGGUGAAAUGCGUAGAUAUAUGGAGGAACACCAGUGGCGAAGGCGACUCUCUGGUCUGUAACUGACGCUGAGGCUCGAAAGCGUGGGUAGCAAACAGG
rnacentral:rRNA from 1 species